rnacentral:rRNA from 1 species
UAUACGACUCUCGGCAACGGAUAUCUCGGCUCUCGCAUCGAUGAAGAACGCAGCGAAAUGCGAUACUUGGUGUGAAUUGCAGAAUCCCGUGAACCAUCGAGUCUUUGAACGCAAGUUGCGCCCGAGGCCUUUCGGUUGAGGGCACGCCUGCCUGGGCGUCACGC